CCUACGGGAGGCAGCAGUGGGGAAUUUUGGACAAUGGGCGAAAGCCUGAUCCAGCAAUGCCGCGUGAGUGAAGAAGGCCUUCGGGUUGUAAAGCUCUUUUGUCAGGGAAGAAACGGUGGGAGCUAAUAUCUCUUGCUAAUGACGGUACCUGAAGAAUAAGCACCGGCUAACUACGUGCCAGCAGCCGCGGUAAUACGUAGGGUGCAAGCGUUAAUCGGAAUUACUGGGCGUAAAGCGUGCGCAGGCGGUUUUGUAAGUCUGAUGUGAAAUCCCCGGGCUCAACCUGGGAAUUGCAUUGGAGACUGCAAGGCUAGAAUCUGGCAGAGGGGGGUAGAAUUCCACGUGUAGCAGUGAAAUGCGUAGAUAUGUGGAGGAACACCGAUGGCGAAGGCAGCCCCCUGGGUCAAGAUUGACGCUCAUGCACGAAAGCGUGGGGAGCAAACAGGAUUAGAUACCCUGGUAGUCCACGCCCUAAACGAUGUCUACUAGUUGUCGGGUCUUAAUUGACUUGGUAACGCAGCUAACGCGUGAAGUAGACCGCCUGGGGAGUACGGUCGCGAAGAUUAAAACUCAAAUGAAAUUGAGG
rnacentral:rRNA from 1 species